rnacentral:lncRNA from 1 species
UAGGAAUGGAAAUUUCUGUAGCUGUUUCUGUACAAAAGAAGCCAACCCGCAGGGAGCAGAUAGCAAGUCCAGACCUUGUCUUCCUUCCUCAGCUGUGUUUGAGGUUCUGUUGUAGUCAUGGGAAGAUGCCAUGAGGGUGUCUGUGAGGAUGUCUGGAUGUCAAUAAGCUGCCAUGGUGAUGGAGUGCAGAACUAGCUCGUGUGCGCGCAGCAAAUAAACAGCGCUUGUGGAAGCUCUGCA